rnacentral:rRNA from 1 species
UACGUAGGGUGCAAGCGUUGUCCGGAAUUAUUGGGCGUAAAGAGCUCGUAGGCGGUUUGUCGCGUCGAAUGUGAAAACCCGGGGCUCAACCCCGGGCCUGCAUUCGAUACGGGCAGACUAGAGUUCGGUAGGGGAGUCUGGAAUUCCUGGUGUAGCGGUGAAAUGCGCAGAUAUCAGGAGGAGCACCGGUGGCGAAGGCGGGACUCUGGGCCGAUACUGACGCUGAGGAGCGAAAGCGUGGGGAGCGAACAGG